rnacentral:misc_RNA from 1 species
CGCUAUUUGACGUCAAGAUGAGUUUUCAAAAACAAGUAUAGUUUGAUCGUUCGACGUUUGUGGAUUUUUUACGUUGGAAUGUGCAUUUUUCAGAAAACAGAAAACAGAAAACAUUAAUACUCAAUACGGAAGCGAAAAUUGAUUAUGAAUUGAAGUAACGAACUAUGUUAACGUGAGUUUUGUGGACACACAAAACAAAGUAUUACGCAAACGCAAGUGAAAGACAACAAAAAAAAAAAGAGGAAGAAGACAAAUAAAAGUCAUCCUUUCAAACAUUAAGGAUUCGCAUAACUUAUUUUAACAAGAACUGAUUUCUAAUUUAAUUUAAUUUAUUAUUUUAUUAUUAAGUGAAAGAUUCAGAGUGGUGACUCUUGGUUUUCACUUGAGAAGAAAAACAUGUUUAGUAACAACACCACAUCCUCCGGGUUGGAUGAUGUACAGAUGUUUCUUGAUGUAGUAAACAAAACCACAUCCUCCGGGUUGGAUGAUAUACAGAUGUUUCUUGAUGCAGUAAACAAAAACACAUCCUCCGAGUUGGAUGAUGUACUAAUGGUUGGCAGAUUUCUAGGAGACAUAUCUGAUAUAGGUGGGAAAAUUGCUGAUGUAGGUGGGAAAAUAGUUCAAGGAGUAGCAGGCCUCGACUUUCUACCGGACAUAUUCGGUAGCGCCUCCAGACUCGACCCGACAUAUGUCGCCUUUGCCAGAUUUUUCAUCUCCACGAUGUGUACACUGGCAACGAUAAACAACAUCUUCCUAAUCGUUGCAGCCAGAAUCACGGACAACGGGAAAACCCGAACGGCAACGUACCUGAGUUCGUUUGCCUUGGUCGGCAUCUUCGCCGCUGCGGUAGUGAUGCCUUAUGGCCUCUACCAGACGUCGGGCGGCUGGAACAGGGUAAUGGCCUUCUUCCUCUGUAACUGUGCGUCCCCCUUCAACAUCAUGGUGUGUACAAAUGCCACACUUCACCUGUUCUUUAUCGCCUGGGACCAGUACAUGUACACGUGUCACUCGAUCAUCUACAAGAUACUGAACGCCUUCGUCCUCUGCUGUAUCGUCUGUUGGCUGGUCAUUGGCUGCUGGGUCGCAGCAUUAAUCGUAUCCUUCUUUCCUGUCAUAGACACGUUAACCGAUGUGUCCAAAUUUAUAUUUGGAGUUAUAUCAUCUUUCUCCUGCUUUCUUCCACCGGGGAAAAUCGCCGUGUUCGUGGGACAGGUGAGGUUCUGCUGGUGGUGUACUCUUCCAGCGUAUUUCGUUCCCAUUCUUUUCGUCAUCCUCUGCUACUGGAGAAUAUGUGUGCAUGCGAAGAAGGAUAUGAAACUGAGGUGCACGUGCCAUUCGCUGAAAGUGGCCUUCAAGGCUAUGCUACAGUCGGAGGAACCCACGGGGGGUAUCGGCGCCAUGAUCUUCCUGUACGUCGUCUGCUGGUUUCCAUUCUUCGUGUGGUCCUUAAUGGAGGAUAGAUUCGGCGUCACAAUGCCCGACUUCUUCAGAGCCGUUUUCUUGUGGAUCGGUUACUCCACGUUUGUCUUCGGUCCUGUUGUCUAUAUCAUCUUCAACAAACCGGUGAGGGAUUUCUUCUGCAAGGUUAUCAAGGUCACCAUAAUCGUUUUCAAGUGCUGUUUCAGGUGUUGUAAGAAAAAUUGCAAAAUAUGCCGUCGGAAGACUAGGAAAUCUGAAAAGUCUACCGAAGGUCAUAAGCCUGCGCAAGUUCGUCGCUCUAAAGAAAAGAACAAAACUGUUAAGGCUAAGAAAACUGAUAAGGUUAAGAAAACUCUUAAGGUUAAGAAAACUAAGUCUUCUAGGUCUAACAAAGUUGGUGCUAAAUAAUGUGAACUAGUUUCGUAUAGUAUUAGUGGGGUGGUGGUGGAGUGAUAGUGGGGUGAUGGGGUAGUAGAGUGAUGGUGGGGGUGUUUCAAAGGGUGGGAGGAGUUAACAUUCUAUUAAACUAAUCGAAAUGUUUCUCUUUGGGUUUUUUUUUUUUUUCCAGUCUGGUCAAACAACAGUAAGCGAGAGACAUAGUGACAGAAGUAGAGACAGAAAGACAGUGAGACAACAGAACUAGGCUUCCACGUGUGGGUAGAUCGCAAAAUGCAUUGUUAUAUAUGCAUAAGCAGCCUCGCCUUUUGUUUUCCAUUAAAAACUACUUGAAACGAUUUUUUAGAAUUGCGUUGACUCACGAAACAAUAACUUACAGUUGUUGCUAGACCAACUCCUGUUACGCUUCGUUCCGUUUACAACCCAUUCCGUGUCAGUAGAUUAUGAGCUUGUGUUGUUGUUGGGGUUUGGUUUUUGUUGUUGUUGUUUUGAGGGUCAACGGUAAAUGACAAAAUGAUUCGCUUCCAGUAAUGACUUCACAUCAUACAAAAGCAAAUGUCUGGAUUGGUCCAAAUAAGAUCAUGCUACUUAAAAAUCCGAUGUUCAUGACAUCAUGAAUCUCAAUGUGGCACUAUUUUCGGCAUUGCAUAUGAUAGAAAACAAAAGAGAUCCUUUCAACUAUAUUCUUAAUUUGAGAUUAAUAAAAUGGCUCUUUAUACGUUAGUUGUAAUGUUGAAGUAUAUGUUCUUUAUUGUUUAAAAUCGUUUGUAUUAAUGUAUGAAAAACAAAUGUGAGAAUUACUUCAUUCGGCUACUGAUGGGGAGAAGCCGAAUCACGGUAAUACGGAUUCUCAUUCAGCGUAUUAAUUGUUUGAAGAAAGAGUUCCAUUGUUAUUUCAGGAUGUCUUUUAUAUUUAAUGAAAUUAUUCAUUUGGAAAUAUGAGAAUGGAAAAUGAUAAUUUGUUACGUUCAUGCAAGGAUGAAAUUUUUUGUUUAACGACACCACUGUAGCACAUUUAGGAGAUGACCAUAAUGCGGUACACCGUUUAUUUACUGCACUGACGUGCGGGGCGGGGGGAGGGGGUGGGCACACACACAUACAUACAUACACACACACACACACACACACACACACACACACACACACACACACACGUCUUGAUCCAGUAGCAGUAGCGGUGGUUUAUAU